AUUGAACGCUGGCGGCAUGCCUAACACAUGCAAGUCGAACGGGGCAGCAAUGCCUAGUGGCGGACGGGUGAGGAAUACGUAGGAACCUGCCCUUAAGUGGGGGAUAACCAGGGGAAACCCUGACUAAUACCGCAUGAUCUCUUCGGAGCAAAGAGGGGGACCGCAAGGCCUCUCGCUUCUGGAUGAGCCUACGUCUGAUUAGCUAGUUGGUAGGGUAAAGGCCUACCAAGGCGACGAUCAGUAACUGGUCUGAGAGGAUGAUCAGUCACACCGGAACUGAGACACGGUCCGGACUCCUACGGGAGGCAGCAGUGGGGAAUAUUGGACAAUGGGCGCAAGCCUGAUCCAGCAAUGCCGCGUGUGUGAAGAAGGCCUUCGGGUUGUAAAGCACUUCAGCCUGGAAAGAAAAAGCUUUGGUUCACACCCAAAGUCUUGACGGUACCAGGAGAAUAAGCACCGGCUAACUCUGUGCCAGCAGCCGCCGUAACAC
rnacentral:rRNA from 1 species